ensembl:lncRNA
CACAUGAUAGAACCCUGGUGACAGGAUUCACACAUGAUAGAACCCUGGUGACAGGAUUCCCACAUGAUAGAACCCUGGUGACAGGAUUCACACAUGAUAGAACCCUGGUGACAGGAUUCCCACACGAUAGAACCCUGUUGAAAGGAUUCCAACAUGAUAGAACCCUGGUGACAGGAUUCCCACAUGAUAGAACCCUGGUGACAGGAUUCCCACAUGACAGCCGUUGAAACAUGGUGACAGGAUUCCCACAUGACAGCCGUUGAAGCAUGGUGAAAGGAUUCCCACAUGAUAGAACCCUGGUGAAAUGAUUCCCACAUGGUAGAACCCUGGUGAAAGGAUUCCCACAUGAUAGAAGCCUGGUGAAAGGAUUCCCACAUGAUAGAACCCUGGUGACAGGAUUGCCACAUGAUAGAAGCCUGGUGAAAGGAUUCCCACAUGAGAGAACCCUGGUGACAGGAUUCCAACAUUAUAGAAACCUGGUGAAAGGAUUCCCACAUGAGAGAACCCUAGUGACAGGAUUGCCACAUGAUAGAACCCUAGUGACAGGAUUCCAACAUUAUAGAAACCUGGUGACAGGAUUCCAACAUUAUAGAAACCUGGUGACAGGAUUCCAACAUUAUAGAACCCUGGUGAAAGAAUUCCCACAUGAUAGAACCCUAGUGACAGGAUUCCAACAUUAUAGAACCCUGGUGAAAGGAUUCCCACAUGAUAGAACCCUAGUGACAGGAUUCCAACAUUAUAGAACCCUGGUGAAAGGAUUCCCACAUGAUAGAACCCUAGUGACAGGAUUCCAACAUUAUAGAAACCUGGUGAAAGGAUUCCCACAUGACAGCCGUUGUAGUCCUAUGAGGGGAAUCCCACGGAAUAGCCAUUGAAGCCCGGUGAAAGGAUUCCCACAUGAUAGCCAAUGCCAGUCAAAUAAUUAUUUCCAAGUUAGCACAGUGCAUCUUCAUCAAUCACUCAACUUUGUUAAGACCAGCUUUAUAAACGGGAGACCAAAAAAUUCCCCUGGCCAACCAAUCAUGCUCCUUCACUCUUAUGAAUACUGCUCAACAUUGAUUCAUUUAUAUGGAAAAUAUAUUAUGGCUUUAGAUUGUGGCUUUAGAUCAGUGCUUACAUAACAUGUGCUUUGCAGAGGAGGUGGACAUCUGGCCACAUGGCACAAAUACUUUCAGGGGGCUCUGAACAAUAAAAUAAGCAGAGACCAAACGGCAGCAGAAGACAGAAUACAUCGUUUUAGCACUACAAGCUGAGAAAACGUAAAGCUCAGAUUACAUCAUAUUAUAACAUCAGGCAUAUGCUCGGGACAGAUGAAAAGUCACGUCAAGGUUUGGACUAACGUUGAAGCCCAUGAGUAACACAGAAAACUGUUUAUAGGUUCCCUAUAGAUUACCUGGCAAACUGCUUGUACGUUAUUGUCCAUUUCAUCAACCAGAAGCAUAGCUUCUAAACAGAAAGAGACAUACUGACAGCUAUUGUGUUUCUGUUGUAUGUACUGUAUGUCCUGUAGGAGUUAUAACUCUUGAAAUGAGUAUAUUCUUAGUCUUUUUAGAAAACCACUGUUUUGUUUUUUUGUUGAUUUUAUUUUAGUCCAUUACAUUGAUAUUAUACUGUAUACUGUAAAUGCUCUGUAACAUAUUGACUUAUUCAAUAUUACUCUGUUGUGAAGUAGUUCUUUUCCAAAGGUAUAUGUUUUGUUCCUUUAACAUGCGUUCCUUUCUGCCUAAAACAGGACUUGUUUUGAUUGGUUGGGCCUGGAAGAACGUUGCCAUAAAACCGGACAAAGCCAGUCCUUUUCUCCAGAGGUUAACAUCUUAAUCUGAAGGUUUCCUGACAAACUAAAAGCCGCUGGCAAAAACGAAGAGCAACACAUUGCCUUUUUCUGAAAGGGCUACAGAGUGAGAACUCUUGUGCCACUUUAUACAAGCAGUUUAAUUAAGCCUUUCAUUCUUUUUUUUAAAUUAUCCUAGCAAAAUGUAUUGUUAUAGAUAUUUUUUAUUCAAAAUAAGAUCUAGAUUUUAUACAUGAUUCUCUCUUUUUUGACUAUGUACAGAAGUGCAAGAAAGUCAACCUUCUUCACCUACAAUGCUGUGAAAAAGUUUUUCCCUCUUUUAAAAAAUAACAUUCUCCACUCUUGCAUAUUUUUGUUACUGAAUGUUAUCAGAUCUUCAACAAAAAAACUAAUAUUAGAUCAAGAGAAACUGAGUGAACAAAUAUCACAAUAUUUACAUAUAUAUUUCAUAAACAAAGUUAUGUAACACCCAAUGCCUCUGUGUGAAAAAUUAAUUGCCCCCUUACACUCAAUAAUUGGUUGUUCCACCUUUAGCUGCAAUGACCAGGCUGUAUCACAUCCAGUCUUGAUUGGGAGUCCCAUAUGGCGGUGCACAAUUGGCCCAGCAUCGUCCGGGUUUAACCGGAGUAGGCUGUCAUUGUAAAUAACAAUUUCUUCUUCUUAUUAACUGACAUGCCUAGUUAAAUAAAAUAAACAUAUAUUUUUUAAUUAAAUAAAAAUGACUCCAACCAAACACUUCCUGUAGUUGUUGAUUAGUUUCUCACAUCGCUGGGGAGGAAGUUUGGCCCACUCUCCUAUGCAGAACUGCUUUAACUCAGCCACAUUUGUGGGUUUUCAAGCAGGAACUGUUGUUUCAAGUCCUGCCACAACAUCUAAAUUGCGAUUAAGUCUGGACUAGGCCAUUCCAAAACGUGUUGCUUUUUAGCCAUUUUCAUGUAGACUUGAUUGUGUGUUUUGGAUCAUUGUCUUGCUGCAGGACCCAGCGUUUUCCGUUAUGCCUUGUUAAAACCAAACACUGCAUUCCACAGUAAGAACCUUAUACCAAUGGUCAAGCAUGGUGGUGGUAGUGUGAUGGUUUGGGGAUGCUUUGCUGCCUCAGGACCUGGACAACUUGCCUUAAAACUUCUUUGGGAUCGGUGUCCCUUCCACGGGACGGUUGAGCUAACGUAGGCUAAUGCGAUUAGCAUGAGGUUAUAACUAGCAAGACAAUUUCCCAGGACAUAGACAUAUCUGAUAUUGGCAGAAGGCUUAAAUUAUUGUUCAUCUAACUGCACUGUCCAAUUUACAGUAGCUAUUACAGUGAAAGAAUACCAUGAUAUUGUUUGAGGAGAGUGCACAGUUUUGAGCAUGAAACGUUAUUAAUGGAAGGAACCAUUAAUUCUGCUCCGUGUCAGACAUUUCUUCAGGCGAAUGUCAGGCCAUCCGUCUGUAAGCUGACCAUGAAGCUAGCGGGGUCAUGCAGCAAGACAAUGAUCCAAAACGCACAAUUGUUUACAUGAAAAUGGUUAAAAAAAAAGCAACAAAUUUGGCCUAGUCAAAGUCCAGACCUAAUCCCUGUUGAGAUGUUGCUGCCGGACUUGAAACGACAGUUAAUGCUUGAAAACCCACAAAUGUUGUUGAGUUAAAAUGGUCAUUCAUGCAUGUAAGAGUGAAAAUACCUCCACAGCAACGUGAGGGACUGGUCAACAACUACAGGAAGUGUUUGGUUGCAGUCAUUGCAGCUAAAGGUGGCACAACCAGUAAUUGAGCGUGACGGGGCAAUUCCUUUUUUCACACAGGGGAUUGGGGUGUUGCAGAACUUUGUUAAUGAAAUAAAAUAAGUAUCCAUUUUUGUUGUUAUUUGUAAAUGUUGGUUCUCUUUAUCUAAUAUUUAGGUUUUGGUUGAAGAUCUGAUAACAUUCAGUAUCAAAUAUAUGCAAAAAUAGAGAGAAUCAGAAUGGGGGAAAAUACUUUUCCACAGCCCUGUAGGUUUCCCCUUGUUUGUUUGUGGCUAAGUAAAGAGAUCAGUGUGCAUACUCCAUGCUCGACCUGCCCCCGACCCCUGACCUCAACUGCAACGCCCCCUAAGAGUGAUCAAAUAUGCAGCUGUAUUUUCAAUAUGGCCUGACAUCCAGGGAGAUUACAAAUAUUCAAACAAUAGUUACUAUUUGAAGAGAAUACAGUAGAAAAUGUUUUUUUUUUUAAACACACCAAUCUAAUAAUGAGAUUUUUUUAAUAAUAUUUUUUUCCUUAUAAGAGUGACUAGUUACAAACCAGACGAUCAUUCAAAUAAUACUCCACUGUCAGUGAGCGUUGUCACAACAAGCCUCACUCUCCUAGUAUUUCCUCAAAGUCAGAUACCCACACAAAAGAUCUUUGUUCAAGAAACUCAAACAGACAAGAAAUUAAAAUAAUUCUUAGAGUUCACAGAAAAUAAAAAUAAUUCAGUUUACAAUCAUAACACUACAGUAAAUAUUAAAUUCAACAUUACAGAAAAUUUCAGAAAACAAAAAUAUGGUAUGAAGAACACAAAACACAUAUGACCUUAUUCAGAAUCCUACAAAAGUUACUGGUAAAAUCUAGUAAGACAAAACUCCUUUAACUAAAUAUCAAAAAUGUAAUCCGUGCAUUAAACAAAAUGAAAUAAGACAUUCAUCUUCUUGAAAAAAACAACCUCAACAAGAAAUACAUGUUUAGAGUGAAAGACAACAAUCAUAUUUAUACCACGAAAGCUUUGUGUGGCGACAAAACAGCAAGGGUUAGGCAAGAGGACGAUUUGAAAUGGCUUGUUGCAUUGUGCCGACCUCGUGGUGUUUUCUAAGGCUUUGGAUGAGUAAUACAAUCAGGUCAAGCUCUUCCAUACAAUGUCUUUUCAUACAAUGCAUGCAGAAGCAUGAGGGUUAACCCAAAAACAAUCUACACUCCCCCACGCUUCCAUACACAAAUUUACACUCACCCCCCUCUUGUCCAUACACAACUUCAUCUGUGAUUUUGGCCCCACACAUUUGCUGAACAGAGCUCCACUAGUGCACCCACAUAUGUCAACACAGAACACAGAAGAAAAAUACCAAAAAAACAUUUGACUGUAUCUAUCCCAAAGCAUCCAUACUAUCACACAUUAAAAUACACAUAAUGCGUUUUCACAAGUUCUCUCACAAAUCAUAGACCAUACAAACUGCACUUAAUAAAACAUACCAUUUUUAAAAAAUCAUUAAAUGAAUUAUAAUGAAAUGAAAACCACACCAUGUUCGAACAACUCAACCAUAAGCCACCCUGUAACUCUUGGAAAGUGCUCCUCACUCCACUCAGCGGUUUGGUUUAUCACGCAACUUUCAGUAGUUCUUCAUUCUAUCCUUCCUUUUUAACAGUCUCCACUCCUACUUCGUCACACGUGAGACUUUUGGAAUAAUAUUGGGUCCAGGGCCAAAGCCCCAUGCAUUAAGCCUUUACAGUCUAUAAACUUUAUACUCAGAGACAGAGAGGACUGGGUCCUAACAGAACCAACUAGAGUCUAUAGCCUUUAUACCCAGAGAGGACUGGGUCCUAACAGAACCAACUAGAGUCUAUAGCCUUUAUACCCAGAGAGGACUGGGUCCUAACAGAACCAACUAGAGUCUAUAGCCUUUAUACCCAGAGACAGAGAGGACCAGGUCCUAACAGAACCAACUAGAGUCUAUAGACUUUAUACUCAGAGAGGACCAGGUCCUAAAAGAACCAACUAGAGUCUAUAGACUUUAUACCCAGAGAGGACCAGGGCCUAACAGAACCAACAAGAGUCUAUAGACAUUAUACUUAGAGAGGACUGGGGCCUAACAGAACCAACUAGAGUCUAUAGACGUUAUACCCAGAGACAGAGAGGACCAGGUCCUAACAGCACCAACUAGAGUCUAUAUACUUUAUACCAAGAGACAGAGAGGACCAGGGCCUAACAUAACCAACUAGAGUCUAUAGACGUUAUGCCCAGAGACAGAGAGGACCAGGUCCUAACAGAACCAACUAGAGUCUAUAGACUUCAUACCCAGAGAGGACCAGGUCCUAACAGAGCCAACUAGAGUCUAUAGACUUUAUACUCAGAGACAAAGAGGACCAGGUCCUAACAGAACCAACUAGAGUCUAUAGACUUUAUACCCAGAGAGGACUGGGUCCUAACAGAACCAACUAGACUCUAUAGACUUUAUACUCAGAGAGUACUGGGUCCUAACAGGACCAACUAGAGUCUAUAGACUUUAUACCUAGAGACAGAGAGGACCAGGUCCUAACAGAACCAACUAGAGUCUAUAGACUUUAUACCCAGAGACAGAGAGGACCAGGUCCUAACAGAACCAACUAGAGUCUAUAGACUUUAUACCCAAAGACAGAGAGGACUGGCUCCUGACAGAACCAAGUAAAGGUUAUAGACUUUAUACUCAGAUACAAAGAGGACUGGGUCCUAACAGAACCAACUAGAGUCUAUAGACUUUAUACCCAGAGACAGAGAGGACCAGGUCCUAACAGAACCAACUAGAGUCUAUAGACUUUAUACCCAGAGACAGAGAGGACCAGGUCCUAACAGAACCAACUAGAGUCUAUAUACU